UUUGGAAGUACAGGCCUAUUUAUGCUAGUCAGUUUAAAGUCGUUCACCAUUUAGUGUUAUCUAAGAUACCCUUCAUUGCGAAUUCCUUCUAAUUAAUUCCCAUAAGUAAAAAUAAAAAACAAACCUAAUAUGCCUUAUGGCAAACUUAAAAAAUUAAAGGAAAUUCUAUGUCUAAUACAAUGACUGGUUCAGUAAAAUGGUUUAACGACGAUAAAGGUUUUGGUUUCAUUACUCCAGCUGAUGGCUCUAAAGAUGUAUUUGUUCAUUUCUCUGCAAUUCAGAGUGAUAACUUCAAAUCUUUAAUUGAAGGUCAGCAAGUUUCAUUCAUCAUUGAAAAUGGUGCAAAAGGUCCUGCUGCAGGACAAGUGGUGGCGCUUUAAAGACACUAUAAAAG
rnacentral:sRNA from 1 species